UGGAUGGUAGCAUAAUGGUAUUGCACCCGGCUGUUAACCGGGAGAUUGGAGGUUCGAAUCCUCCCCAUCCAGCCA
rnacentral:tRNA from 1 species